UGGCUGAAAGUGAAUGGAGUAUCUAUACCUUUCAUGCAGUAAUAAACUCCAAUAUCUUCAGCCUCCACCCUGCUGAUUUGCAGUGUGAAAUCUGUGCCUGACCCACUGCCACUGAAUCUGUCUGGGACCCCAG